GGAGCGAGAAGAAUCUAGAAUUUGGAUGAUUGACGCUCCUCGUUUCUCUGUCAUCACUGACUCAUCUCUGCCUUCUUCAUUCCUUACCAUUACCGUUGUCUAAGGAGGCUCAUGGUUGCUCUCAAAUAUUCAUGUUCAUCGUCACACCUCCCAUCUCUAUUUUUUUUACUUUCCUUCGUCCGCUGCUCUCCUUGUGUCAUUCGCGUCUGAGUUGUGGCUAGGAUGAGGGUCGAAGUCGUUGAAGCUGGAAGGUUCUACUUGCAAGUCCUUUUCCCCCCAUUUCAUCUGUAAACUUCAUCAUCUUCGUCAUCGUUCCAUAUUCCCUGUGUCUGUUAUUUCUUUGUCUGCUAUGCUGUCCGUGUGGUUCUGGGAUAAGAGGUCACAAAGCAUCGCAGCUGAUGGGUUGUUGCUGUGAACUUGUAUUGGUGCUGUUGAAACUAGUCUUCCUUCCUUUUCUGUGCGUGGUGAUAGUGCUGUUUUCCUCUCCCCUGUUCAGCGUUCAAGAAUCUCUUCUCCUCCUCUGUCGGUCUGCCACCGUUCAAGCUAGCUAAAUCGAGAUUCUAGUGUGUGAUGUGCAAGUAUGCGAAAAGAGAUUCAAAUAAGGAAAUUACAUAGGCAAACCUUUCUAUCAGACAGAAGGGUUGAGGUUUUGGCAUUAGUAGUUCAAAGGGGAAAGACAUAGGCUGAGUUGAUAUUUCUCGCCUAAGCUUUAUAAGAAUUGGUGUAAUGCCUUUGUAAAUUAUUAAUUAUGAAUAUGUAUAAGUUUCCUUAGGAAUCAAAAUAUGUGUAUAAUGUGUUGAAUAUGGUGUUUUGGUGAUUUUGAACUCCCUAACCCUUUGUAUAUGUGUGUAUAGUCAAAUGAUAGAAUGGGCUAGUAGAUGAA